rnacentral:rRNA from 1 species
AUUGAACGCUGGCGGCAGGCCUAACACAUGCAAGUCGAACGAGUGGCGGACGGGUGAGUAAUGUCUGGGAAACUGCCCGAUGGAGGGGGAUACCUACUGGAAACGGUAGCUAAUACCGCAUACCAUCGGAUGUGCCCAGAUGGGAUUAGCUAGUAGGUGGGGUAACGGCUCACCUAGGCGACGAUCCCUAACUGGUCUGCGAGGAUGACCAGCCACACUGGAAGUGAGACACGGGCCAGACUCCUACGGGAGGCAGCAGUGGGGAAGAUUGCACAAUGGGCGCAAGCCGGAUGAAGCAAUGCCGCGUGUAUGAAGAAGGCCUGCGGGUUGUAAAGUACUUUCAGCGGGGAGGCGUUACCCGCAGAAGAAGCACCGGCUAACUCCGUGCCAGCAGCCGCGGUAAUAC